UUUUUUUUUUUUUUUUUUUUUUAUUAAUAUAAUAAUUGUUGAAACAUUGUUUUGUGUACAUUGCAGUAAAACCCAAAGGAAUUAUUGAUGAUGUAUUCAAUAGAACAGUGUACAUUGACAUUGAGACUUGUACAUUGAGAACCAAGUUGUAUAGUUAACUUGAUUUGUUGUUGAUAUACACACUGGAAUUAUGAUUAAUUUUUAACACAAUUGCUUUCCAUAAUUCCCAUCUGAAACUUGCUAUUGAAUGAGUCAAAGAUGUGGUAAUAAUUUAUAUAUAAAUAUAUUUUUUAUUCUAAGUUUUUUGUGUUUGUAUUACAAUGGCUGAAGACAUACAUUUUCUGUUCUAAUAAUAUAAGUAAGAUUGAAUGCAGUGUCAUGAAUUUAGAUACUGUACAAUUUUACAUGUAGCUGUCACCUUAGGAUAUCCUCAUGAUUUUACUUCUUUUUUCUAACCUUAACAUAUCAAUAUGGUCAUCUUUUUUUGGGUCUGAGCCUUUAGUUUGAUAUUUCACCUGCUCGCUAAGAAAUAUUUUUCUGCCAUUUGCUGAUUUAACUUUUAGAAUUUUUUUUUAAUUAAAAAAUAAACACUUUGGUACAGGGAUUAUUUAUCUGUGCGAUGCAGCAUUGAUGAUAACCAAUUUCUUGUGGAUGUGUGCCUUGAAUUACACAGAAUGAAACUUAAUAAUUUAAUCUCACCUCUGCAUUAUUGACUUUGUUUAAAAAGAGGGCACUUCUUCUAUUGUACAUAAUUUUAAAAUUAAUUCAUACUAAAAUAAUUUUUUAUUUUACACCAUUGCUAUAGACAUUAGGCUAAAUUAAUACAAUUGCUGUUACAUUAUGUACUUCAAUACUAUUUUUUUUUUUACAGAUUAAAAAAAUUAUUUCAGUCUGUUUAGUGCAAGUUAGUAUUUACCAGUGAUCAUUACUAAUUUCUCUUUUGUUUUUUAAUUUGCCCCCAGAGAACUUUUAUUAAAACAAUUGUCUGUUUUCUCAUUAAUGGCAUAAUUCUAACCUUUUGUUCAGUAGCCACUUAUAGUGAUUCUGGUUUAUUUUAUUUUCUCUGGUAUAUAAACACUACUGCAAGGCUGCUCUGUAUUCAUAUAUAUAUAUAUGUAUAGUGGUGAAAGCCUGACCUUUGGUUAUAUUGUUAACAAUCUGAAUGUAUGCAGAAAACCUUGCAGAUAUGAAACAAAAUAAAUUGCAUUAUUUAUGAAG